GCAGAAGGCAGAUGCUUAACGAACUGAGCCACCCAGGCAGGUUUAGAAUUCUAGGUUGCCAGUCAUUUUCAGCCCGUGAAGCUGUCGUGCCGGUUUUCCGGCCUCCACGGGCCCUCCGAAGCCGGCGGGGUCACUCGUGGAGAGAUUUUGGACUUUGUGUAUGCCACACUUGGUUUCCACGGUGCCCGGAGAUUUCUGUUGAUCUCUGCAGUCCCAGUUCCCUCAUUUUCAUCGCUGGGGAGUCAUCUGAACCUGUCUCAGAGGCCACGUACUUGUUUCCCUGUUGGUCCCUUCGGUUUGUUCCGAUGCUUUGAUAAACGUGCCGGCGGGACUCCUCCAGCACCGGUGAGGGCUUCUCGCAGAUGGGCAGGAGCGGGCCCGCCGGGCGGUGUGGGGAGGUCCGUGCUUGUGCGCAGUGUAGCGGAGACGGCGGUUCCCUGCCUCCUUGGUGGCACAGGGCGCAUUGGUCAGCUGAUGGGCACCAACGCCGUCUCACUGGAAUUUGGCCUGUGGGGCUGUACGUCUCUUAUUUUAUAAGCCAUUCUCGUUUUCUUUUGCCUGGGGCAUUUAGCCAUUUUCCUUUUGGCGGCUUUGUUUCAUUUUUCAAAUUUUUUGAUUCAUUUACAAUUGACUGGGCAGAAGGGGGACUCUGCUGUUUUCUCAAGAUGACCAACAACUGAGCAAAUGCCCCAGCUCCGACCUACUGAGCUGAACUACCGGCUUCCUCACACUCUCUCUCACACCAGCUUUUCUCCUAUUUGACUAAAAUGUGCGCCGGUAUCUUCAUUGAUCAUUAAUAUAUGAAUUACGUAUCACCACGAUGUCCGUUCCCUCCGAAUUAUUAAACUUCCCUAAGAACAGGAUCUUACCACGGACCUAGUGAGACUCUCGGGGCUUUCUGUUCUCUUGCAGGCGUCGUCCCGCCGGCCGCCUGGGCGCAGAGACGGCCGGAGAGUCGAGUAGCGGGCACAAGGGCGAGCGGGAUUCGGGCUGCGUCAGGACUGCUCGUUCCGUUUUCAGUAGGUUAUGAAAUGGGAAUUAUGGAAACGGACUUUUUCCUUCCGUCAAAAAUGGAUAAUCAUUGUAGGUUAUUUGGAAAGUAGAGAAAUGCCCCAGCUCAAACCCAUGCCUGCUAGAGCGGCACGAAAUGACCCUCAAGCGGACGAAUCCGCUGCUGCAGCCGCAGUGCGGGAUUUUACCUUUUCCAUCUGAACAGCAUGAGAAGCCUCUCUCCACUGGCACCAUCUCCAAGAUGCUGACAACUUUUAAAAAUAUCUCUCUGCAAACCCAAUGACAAGACAUGCCGUUUGCCCCACACCUGAGCUGUGUGACAUACGAGCACAUCUCCUUCCCGGCAAGUCAAGUCUGAGACCUUCCCUCACCGGAAGGUAAAAACCCUU